AAAAAAAAAGGAAACCCAUUCAGCUGGAGACAUUCACAACCCUGACCAGCGGCGUAGGGAUGGGCGCUCAGAGGCCCCAGCUUUUACACUCAGGGAGUCCACUGCCCCAUAGCCACACUGGCUGGAGCAGAGGGUCAGGUCUGAAGAGAAAAAGUGGUCUUGACUGAAAUUCUGAAGCUGCAAAGUGUUCCUGACUGUCUGAAAAACCUGAAGGUGCAAGGGGGUCUUGAUUGUCUGAAAAAUUUGCCCUCAGCUAGUCCACAUCAUCUACCACUUGUCUGCAUUGAAUAACACUUGACCUAGGCCUGGCCUGAUGCAAACAGCCUGACAGAAUUAAUUCUGUGUUGUGAGUGAUUUACAAUACAAUGCUGACAGUAUUUGCUGCGUGCCUUGAGAGCAUCCUCACCAGGACUGUGGCUUUGCUUGCCUUUCACAUCUGUUACCUCCUGAAGCUGUGGAACAGAGCAUAUGCAGGACAACACACUUGAGCAAAGAGUAAGCCUUGUCUGAAGCUGUUGGUGUGAAAGUAUCGAAGUGGAGAUUAAAAAAAGAUCUGUCUUGUAUUCCAAAUGCACUUUGCACUGUGAUGAACCCAACCUACCAUGCCAGAAAUAUUCAAGACUCUAUUACUGCUGACUUUAUGAUCUUAAACUGAGAUUGGAGAAAUAGGAAGGAGAUGAGAGGAGAUGGGCUGCAAAUACCUUGGACAUGAAGAAAGCUGAGCUCAUGCAAUGCUGGAAAUGAGAGAAAAGGAGAAUUUAUAAUUGCACAGCCCAAGAGUAAAACUUCAACAGCUCUUAGCAACUGUGUAGACAUGAAAAUCAAUCACCAACAGUAGCUCUGUCCUUAGGAAAGCUGGGUUCAUUAUACCCAGCUCUUACAGAACAUUAAUUCUGUCUUA